rnacentral:sRNA from 1 species
AAAUAGGGUGGCAACGCAGCAAACCACGGACUCGGGCGCGCAUUAAAAAUGAGAAACAUUGCUGUUGCUGCUGCUGCUGUUGCUUGAGAUGUGAGAGGCAAUAAAAAAUGGAACCGUGUGCGAGUGGAAGGAAGUUUGCUCCAUGCUCUUGCAUGCUAAUGGCCUCUGGGGUCUUCGGUCUACAGUCCAGCGAUUGAGGCGAAAUAAAUUGAGGAAAGAAAAGAUCGUCGUGAGCAGCAGCAAAUGAGAAAAAUGGCGCUUAGAAUUUGGAUAAGUAACAACUGCUCAGAGAGUCGAGUCGGAUGACUGGGAGAUUACGUAAGUGCAAAAAGCACCAACACAGUUACGGUGCGAAAGAGCCGGCACGAGAGCUUGCAAAACAAGUCGCAUACAGGGUGUCCGCAUUGGCAACGUGACGCGAGCAACAAUGCCAUGGCAACAUUACCAGUCGAUACCCUGUUUUGGGUCGAGAAGAGCGCGAAAAAGAGCGAAGCCCAUACACUGAAUAAUGUGUGCUGUAUAUAAACGGCGGCGGUGGCGACGUCGGCGUCGAUACUCUUGCAGUACAUAAUGAAAUCGACAAAACUGAAAAUCAGAAACCAAACGGACUACAGAGCAGGCUACAACUCUGCCACGGUUACACUUUGCGGCGGCAGUGGCGGCGGCACAUAUACACCUACUACAAUCCACAACCUCCACCACCUCGCUCACGCACACAGGGACUCACAAAACGCACACUCUCGUACUCGUGGCCGUAUGGCUUGUCUGUGUGUGUGUUGUGUGUAACGUAGAAAGGCAGCAAAGUGCAUCUCACCAUGACAAUGGCGGUAGAGCCGCAGGGGAACCGUCGUCGAUGGCCACCAGAGCAUACUCUUCCCGUCGCCAAACCCAAAAAACACAUGCUGGAAUCUCAAAUUGUUUCUGGAAGAAGCAUGCAAAAAUCAAAUCUGUACACGCGAAAAAUCUGGCGUGGGGUGGUGGAAAUGGAAACCUUGCAAUUAUCGAUUAUUUCGCUCAUUGCGCAAUGCAGACAGGACGGACCCACAAGAGAGAGAGAGAGAGUUUAAGGGAGUGCUCUCCGCUCUCUACGGCACCUUAGCACCUGCUAACGGGAACGCACAGCUACUGUCGAUGGCUAAUGCAAAUCAAGUGCAUCCAAAACUUGGAGCAGCAACACGAAGCUCCUCUCGUCAGUAGACUGAAAGUUCAAAGUUCACUUGCAGCUUGUGCAGCGCAUGUCUAGGCCGAAGCCUGCAGUCUCCCCCCUCUGAUGAUUGCAGUUCAACAUCCCUUGGAGCAAAAGGGACAACCACACCUCUGUGUGCCGCCCACGCGCUAGAUUGUGAUUGCGGUUCCAGUGUUGCGGGAAGGCCUUCGAUGGAGUAUGGCCACAUGCCGACGACCAGGCCGAAGCCCCUCGGCGAAACAUUACCAGAAGACACGACGCAGUCAUUAAAUGCUCCACCAACAACAACAGGCAUAGCUGACCAAAACGGGCGCACAUUUUAUCAGGCGAAAAGAUAUACACGUGAAUGCAUAUGAUAUUUUGUCACUUGAGCAGAUAGCUUUUUGGAUGCCAAAAACACCAUUAAAACAGAAGAAUGGAGCUGAUGAUUAGACGUGAAUGAACAAGACAGCUUCAAAAAGAUGCAAACAAAAAAUACAGAAGAUACUGCUACUACUAUUUGUUUUAAAAAUGUAACCAUGACAAUAUUGAGCACCACCGAACCGUAACUGAAAAUGUAAGAAAUUGUUGAACGUCUAAUACAUGUACUCGUAGAAUGAGUCUCCAACAUCAA